CCAUUCUCUUCUCCAUGCAUAAUUUAAGUGGCAAAACACACUUCAAACUCUAUCCCUAUUGUGUUGAGUACUUCGGAAAACGUUAUGGAGAGUUUCAAGAUUGCUAAAGUUUUUACCAUCUGCAUGAUGGUUCUUGUUGCUUUCUCCAAUUUGGGAGCCUCAGCGGCGCUUGAAGACGUUGCAGCACCUGCACCAUCACCAACAAGUGCUGGAACAGCAUUGUACGUACCCACAGCACUUGCUGUAGUGGCUUCUCUUGCUGCUUAUAUCUUUUAAUUUUUUUGUUUAUCAAAUCUAUGGGUAUCUGUUGGUGUCGUGUAUCCUUUUGAGUGGUAAUCUGGUUUUCAAUUUGCAUAAGUAUUUAGGGAGGCAAGAUGUGUCCAUUUAUAUAAACAGAAAAAUGAGCAAUAUUUGUAAUCUUAUAUAUGCAAAUCUCAUUAGCUAGACAAGCACUCCUGUUUUGGCUUCUGCCAAACACAGAAUUGAGAUUUUUCUCAAACAAUGAUGACCAAAAUUAUGAGUUACGGGGAAAGAUUGUAUUUCUUCGAAAACCUGCUAAAUUAAGAUGAAUACUGAUCACUGAAACACGCCAAAUUGAUCAGAGUAAUUCAGCAUAAAGAAACAAAGGACGCUUUGAAGACUUAAUUCACUUAACCUCUUUUUUAGUGGUACUUAGCCCCAAUGGGCAAGUUAUAACUCUUUGCCAGAUUAACUUGAAGAACAGGGAUAUACUCACAACCAAAAACUUCGAACUACCUUAAUCGACGCCAAAAAUGAGUUUAAAAAACUAAUACAAGCUAAAAAUUGAUGACAUGAUUAAAUAUACUGUGGAUAAGAGAAAAUUAAUGAUUGGAUAUAUUUAACGAGCAGAGUGUUGAAGUCUAAGGAGACUUUACAAAUGACUAGCCAAAAAUUCAAUUAACGUAAUAUUUACAAAACAAAUAUGCUACUCAUAGUUUCAGAAUUGCUUCUGAGCUCUUAAUAAAUGACUAGCUGCUAUACAGAAGUCUAAAAUAGAGUUUAUGUAUUGUAACAAGACCGAAGACUCAAACCAAGACAUUUACUUUAUAUAAAUUCUAAAAUAUAACAUUCAUAUAUAAAAAGGAUAGAAAUAUUUGCCAGCCGCGAACAAUUAACCAAUUAUAAACUGGUUAGUUGAUAUAUAAAUAAUUUUGUUUUCUCUUAUAUCUCAAACCUAUUUUACGUGUCAUAAAAAAUGACAAUAACAAAGGAAAUAGUUUAAAUUGAGAAAAAUAUAACUAAGUGUCAUGUGAUAAGUGUAGCCUCACAAAACUCAUUUUUGUCUUUCUUAGUAGUAAUAAUUCAAAUUAAAUCUAGUCCCAAAUAAAAAGUGCCCGGUAUGUUUUGGCUGUAGCGCAAGAUAUCCAUUCCAAUAAUUAAGUUUCCUCCCUCAUGUAACUUAUAUUUUCUUUCAUACGGAUUGCAUUUUCUUUGAAUAGACAAAUACUUCUGCUUUGGCUUUUGCUAUAUAUACCCAGAAUAUAAAUUUUGUUUAAAAAAUUGAUGACCAACAUUAUUAGUUAUAGGAAAAGAUUGUAUUACUUCUAACACCUGCUAAAUUAUGAUUAUUGACCACACCUGAAACACAACAAAUUUGAGGUUCACAUGCAAGGUAUCUUGAGUAAGUCCAGGCCAACACUAUGAAGACUUUAAGCCGCUUUAGCACUUUCACUAUUACUUACUACUUAGCCCCCAAUGACCUAAAUCGACACCAAAACACAUUCAUCAGUCUAAAAACCUAUUACAAGCUAAAAAUCGAUAGCAACUUAUAAGCUAAGAUCAAAUAAUCCGUGGAUAAGAGAAGAUUAACGACCGGAUAUUUUUAUGUACGAAAGGACUUGCUGCAACCCGUUCUUUCAAGAAGUGAGGAUUCAAGUAUGAGAAAUAGUUCUGUCAAUUCAAUUCAAUAAACUCUCUCCUAAGAAAUUUACGGAUUCGUCACUACGAAAGUCUCAAAUUGAGUUCGUGUAGUGUAACAAUAUAGAAUGUUAUAUUAAUUAAUUCAUACAAAUUCUAAAAUCUAACAUUCAAAUAACAGAAGGGGCAAUCUUUGCUGGCCAUAAUUCCAAUCAUUUAAACUAUUACUUAAGUAAAAGCAAUCUCUCCUUUGUUGAUUCGGAGAUAAUAUAUAAAUAAAUAAAAUUUAGAUAUGUAAACACUUAUAACGUCUUCAUUCAUGAUCAUAAUCCAUAACGAGUAUCGAAAGUUUCAUCCCUAAAAAUAAGUGGAAACGAAUAAAAUUCAGUCAACAUAUUAGUGUUGUGUAUAUAAGCGGCUGAUGAUAUUAGAAUUAGGUUUAGAAAUGGAUGUUCACCCCGGCCCGCUGACCCCGCCCUCGUUUGCUUUGCUGAUUUAGGAUUGCUGAUUUAGGAAAUUUAAUACUAUAACUCCCAGAAGAUCCAACAAUCAAGAAUAUCUUACACUCUAUCUAUCACCUCUGGUUCUGGUCUCUAUUAUCACAGAUAUAAUUAUCUAUUAGGUAUGAAGAAUAUUAUGAAUUUAUGAGUAUGCAUGCUACCUAGAUAGUCUUUCUUAAGUAUAUCUGCAGAAACAAAAUUUUCUCCUUAACGUGACCUUAAAGAGAUUUCUUGCUACGUCAGGUCACAAGUUUGUGUUCAAAUAAGUUGCCUACAAUGCAUGUUCUACGAGAUGAUAUAUAUUGUGUUUAGUAGGUAUCAGUUUGGUCGCAUCUACAAUCAGAGUUCUGGACAGGUGCAAGACUUCUUAAGUCUGUGUUCCGUUUUUCUCCCUUAUUUUCUACUUAAAUUACAUUAGUAAUCCGUGUAAGAUAUUUGGUAAUUGCAACAUCAUGACUUACUGUUCGGUGAAAUCUACACUACACGCAAGCGCACGUGAUCACAAGUAAUAUAUUAAGUUCGAUCCCACAGAGACUGGUGAAUUAAGAAUACGCACCUAUGCAACAAUGUAUGAUCAAUUUUCACUGCCAAGACAAUUAAUAAGGAUGGUUUCUUUUAUACUAAUAACUAAAAUUUACUAAUCAAAUUCAGAAUAGGAAAACACAUGGGAUUCUAACUUCAUUAUCGAAUUCAUCUAGAAUUGAAAUUACUGAUUAACAUGCGACUGUUGAUCCUAAUCAGACAACACGAAAGUAAUACAUGCCAACUCUCGUUGCACACAUAUCAUACCAAUCAAAAUCCGCAAUUAAGACAGAAAUCUCAUGGGCACCAACAAAGCUCAGACCCUAUAUCUCUAUAGCGGUAGUGUAAGCAGAGAGGUUUAAUAACAGGUCGUCUAUCGUGAUUACACAGGGUGAUAAAAAUAGUUCAAGUCUAUCACAAAUUAUGUUUCAUUCACAUAAUCCUAUGUUUACAUGGCAUAGUUCUAAAUUCAAUCAUCCACUCUCGCUUCAGAAAGAAUUAACAAACAACUUAGAAGUUAGCUACGCUCCUAAGAAGAAUAAGCACGGCUCAUGCAAAGAAAUCAACGUACGUCACAAAAUCAAGUAAUUAAUAUUCGUUACUAGACUACAUCGAUAAAUCCAUUAGAAUCCCAUGAAGGCGGUUAGUUCAUAAUCGAACUAAUCGACAUCAUGGGUUCUAAUGAAAACAUGAUAAAUAAAAGACGAGAAUUAAACAUAAGACAAUUGCUUGAAUUAAUAAAUAAGAACACAACGUUACAGAAUUGAUGUUCACGAUCUCGCUCGAAACUGUCACUUCCUCGCGAAGAACGAUCCAAUACAAUUCACUAAUGUGUUUUAUUACAAGAGAAAAACUGAUAAAACUAUAUUCCGAUAUUCUACGAUACAAGUGAGGCUAGGGUUUUUACACAUGAGAAAUUAGAUACAUUGACCAAGUCAACCGGGCCUUGACCGCUGCUAAAAUCCAUCAGAAAAGCUCCAAAAAUCGGCCCGGAACAACUCUGCUGGGCGCGGCCGCGCUAAACUAGCGCAGGCGCGCUAGUGGGACAGUAGCUAGCGCGGGCGCGCUAAGAUCUAGCGCGGGCGCGCUACUGUCUGCCACUGGCAGCCCGUUUCUUCGUUUUUUAGCUCGUUCUCGCGUGCAUGCCCUUCCUCGCUCUAGUACCACUUCCGUAGGUGAUCACGGUUGCAUUUAGCACAUGCAACAAGCCCUUUAAACCCCUAGAUAGCUCUAGUGGACGAGUGUGUUCUCGUGAGGGUUUGUAGAAGAUGUACCCACAAAAUCCCAAGUCGUGAUGAAUCCACAAUUCUCUAUUCUUGCAAAUAAUGCACCAAAAACAACCUAAAAUGAUAGAAAAUCACUUCAUCACCUCAACUCGUGACCUGCACAGAAAAACACUAAAAACACAUCAAAAGACACUAAACACUUAAGUACAACCAACCAAUUUAAGUGGAAAUGAAGGCCUAUAAGUGUGUAUAAAUACCACUUAUCACACCCCCAAACUUAAACUGAUGCUUGUCCUCAAGCGUCAACGACACUAUACAAUAAUACAAUGCAAUGCAUGAAUGCAACUACGUGAUGAAUGAGUGAACUAUGAAGUAAUUGCCUUGCCAAUUAUAAUACCUCAGAUUGUGCUAAUGUUCUCGAAUUUCAUCUCUCUCGCUACCAAGUCAAUUACUCUUCUAUUUACAAGUGUGGAGUGCCAGUGUGUGCAAGCAUGCUCUUUUAUUGAGACAAGACAAAAACUACUACUCCCACAGAAUCCCAAUCAAGAAUCGUAAAAGUUUAAAACUAACACCCCGUCACUCAAGUCCAACUAAAAGCCAAGGUCCCAAAGAAUGUCCACACCCUUCUAUUUUAUUCACUACUAUUUUUUUUUCUUUUUUGUCUCUUUUUAUUGGUGAUUAAUUGCUCGGUCUAAGGUCAGAGCGCUUCGCAGUGUAAAUGCGUUACGAACACCACAAGACUUCACACACCAAUUAUUCACUCUAUUCUAGUGGUUUAUUUAACCGUGCAAUGGUUGAGAUCCCUAAAGAUUUAUGCACUAGUACCCAUGUAGCGAGCGUUGGGUCAACAAUCCCAAACCACGAAGGGCUUUAGGUUGUUAGGCACAAAGUCCCCUCAGACUUAAUUACUCGAGUACUAAUGAGCUCAACCUAGUUAAUUCUACCACUUAUUUUUCUAGUGAAUUUAUUACUACUAUUAUUUUUUUUUUUUUUUUUUAUUUUUUUUUUUUUUUUUUUUUUUUUUUUUUUUUUAGAAAGGUAUAUCUACUCCUCAGUUCCCCCAAACUUAAGAUUUACAGACCUAAGCUGAAGGGUGCUCAAUUCAAUCCUAGAAUUCAUGGAAUUUCGUCUAAAUCCUAUCUCAAGAACAUAUGUGAAUUACAAUUUCCAACACAAGCAAUUUCCAAGUACUAACCUAGCAUUGCAAUUGAAACUACUAAUCAAGAACUACGCACAUAACUCAUCAUAGGCAAUUAACUUGGCUUAACUUCAUAAUUCAUGCAAAUGCUCGUGAUACUAACUACGACAAUUACCACUAAACAUGUAAAAUAAUAAAAAAAAAUGAGAAAACUAGGAAGAAAACGUGAGAAAAAAAAAAAAAAAACGUGAGAAAUAAUCAAAGCAAAAUAAAAUAAACGUGAACUACAUGAACUAACUAACACAUGCAAUAAAAUAUAUAAUAUAUGCUCUUCCUUAGAUUACCACCCCCAAACUUAAAAUUUUCAAUGUCCCCAUUGAAAGUGAUAAAAAGGCUAGAGCACCCACAUACCUACUCGGAGCCCGAGUCCUCCCCCUCCUCUGCUGGAGGUGAAUCAGGUGGAGGAUACUGCAUCCCUGCUCCGAAUACUGGCCACUGAACUGUGACCCCCUGUGCCUGGAAAGCACUACCUAGAGCCUGUGUCAAGUCAAACGCAAACCUCUGGUGGAUGUCAUGCAUGGUGUCCAUCCGUCUCGCUAGUCGGCGAUAAUGAACAUCUCCCAUCGGUUCGGAGCUCCUCUCCGUCUGAGAAGUACCAGCUCCAGAAGCUCUAGUCUGCUCCCUCCUCACAAAUGCUGGACGUCCCCCUGGCAUCUCAUCAUAUAUGUAUCCUAGGCCUCGAGGGUGGGGAACUCCUCCUUCCCACUCUGUCAUCCGACUGAUCGCCGAAUGAUCAAUAGGUGUUGCCGGCAACUGUAAUUGCUCGUUGGCUGGCCAACGCACACCACUCGAUCGACAGAGCUUCGUAACAAUUGUGCCAUAUGGAAUGGCACCAGUGGUUCCUCCCUGUAAGAACCUCAGAAUCCCCUGAUGAAUAACAUGUCCCAGAUCAAUAUACUUGCCCGAGACAAUCCCAAAUAGCAGAAUAGCUCUAUCCACUGUCACCUCAUGCCCAUGUGAAGAUGGCAUGAUGUUAGCACAGAUGAAGGCGUUCCACGCCUUCGCAUACCGGUUCAACGCGGCUGCAGGAAAAGAAACAUGUGCCGGCAAAGGAGGUGCAGUCAUCUUCCAAGUCGUGUCCGGCACACACAUAUCAUACACCAACCGCUCAAAAUCUAUCGGAUCAUCAUCAAACCGGCGUUUAGCACGCCCGAUCCUCUCCACAACCCAAUCUUCUUCAUUACGGCGCUUGGCACGCCCCCACUAANNNNNNNNNNNNNNNNNNNNNNNNNNNNNNNNNNNNNNNNNNNNNNNNNNNNNNNNNNNNNNNNNNNNNNNNNNNNNNNNNNNNNNNNNNNNNNNNNNNNNNNNNNNNNNNNNNNNNNNNNNNNNNNNNNNNNNNNNNNNNNNNNNNNNNNNNNNNNNNNNNNNNNNNNNNNNNNNNNNNNNNNNNNNNNNNNNNNNNNNNNNNNNNNNNNNNNNNNNNNNNNNNNNNNNNNNNNNNNNNNNNNNNNNNNNNNNNNNNNNNNNNNNNNNNNNNNNNNNNNNNNNNNNNNNNNNNNNNNNNNNNNNNNNNNNNNNNNNNNNNNNNNNNNNNNNNNNNNNNNNNNNNNNNNNNNNNNNNNNNNNNNNNNNNNNNNNNNNNNNNNNNNNNNNNNNNNNNNNNNNNNNNNNNNNNNNNNNNNNNNNNNNNNNNNNNNNNNNNNNNNNNNNNNNNNNNNNNNNNNNNNNNNNNNNNNNNNNNNNNNNNNNNNNNNNNNNNNNNNNNNNNNNNNNNNNNNNNNNNNNNNNNNNNNNNNNNNNNNNNNNNNNNNNNNNNNNNNNNNNNNNNNNNNNNNNNNNNNNNNNNNNNNNNNNNNNNNNNNNNNNNNNNNNNNNNNNNNNNNNNNNNNNNNNNNNNNNNNNNNNNNNNNNNNNNNNNNNNNNNNNNNNNNNNNNNNNNNNNNNNNNNNNNNNNNNNNNNNNNNNNNNNNNNNNNNNNNNNNNNNNNNNNNNNNNNNNNNNNNNNNNNNNNNNNNNNNNNNNNNNNNNNNNNNNNNNNNNNNNNNNNNNNNNNNNNNNNNNNNNNNNNNNNNNNNNNNNNNNNNNNNNNNNNNNNNNNNNNNNNNNNNNNNNNNNNNNNNNNNNNNNNNNNNNNNNNNNNNNNNNNNNNNNNNNNNNNNNNNNNNNNNNNNNNNNNNNNNNNNNNNNNNNNNNNNNNNNNNNNNNNNNNNNNNNNNNNNNNNNNNNNNNNNNNNNNNNNNNNNNNNNNNNNNNNNNNNNNNNNNNNNNNNNNNNNNNNNNNNNNNNNNNNNNNNNNNNNNNNNNNNNNNNNNNNNNNNNNNNNNNNNNNNNNNNNNNNNNNNNNNNNNNNNNNNNNNNNNNNNNNNNNNNNNNNNNNNNNNNNNNNNNNNNNNNNNNNNNNNNNNNNNNNNNNNNNNNNNNNNNNNNNNNNNNNNNNNNNNNNNNNNNNNNNNNNNNNNNNNNNNNNNNNNNNNNNNNNNNNNNNNNNNNNNNNNNNNNNNNNNNNNNNNNNNNNNNNNNNNNNNNNNNNNNNNNNNNNNNNNNNNNNNNNNNNNNNNNNNNNNNNNNNNNNNNNNNNNNNNNNNNNNNNNNNNNNNNNNNNNNNNNNNNNNNNNNNNNNNNNNNNNNNNNNNNNNNNNNNNNNNNNNNNNNNNNNNNNNNNNNNNNNNNNNNNNNNNNNNNNNNNNNNNNNNNNNNNNNNNNNNNNNNNNNNNNNNNNNNNNNNNNNNNNNNNNNNNNNNNNNNNNNNNNNNNNNNNNNNNNNNNNNNNNNNNNNNNNNNNNNNNNNNNNNNNNNNNNNNNNNNNNNNNNNNNNNNNNNNNNNNNNNNNNNNNNNNNNNNNNNNNNNNNNNNNNNNNNNNNNNNNNNNNNNNNNNNNNNNNNNNNNNNNNNNNNNNNNNNNNNNNNNNNNNNNNNNNNNNNNNNNNNNNNNNNNNNNNNNNNNNNNNNNNNNNNNNNNNNNNNNNNNNNNNNNNNNNNNNNNNNNNNNNNNNNNNNNNNNNNNNNNNNNNNNNNNNNNNNNNNNNNNNNNNNNNNNNNNNNNNNNNNNNNNNNNNNNNNNNNNNNNNNNNNNNNNNNNNNNNNNNNNNNNNNNNNNNNNNNNNNNNNNNNNNNNNNNNNNNNNNNNNNNNNNNNNNNNNNNNNNNNNNNNNNNNNNNNNNNNNNNNNNNNNNNNNNNNNNNNNNNNNNGUCCAGACGACAUCAUUGAAUUUGAAAGUGUCACAGAUCUCUAUAAAAUUACGUAUAUGCAUAUUAGGGUCUUCAGUAGGAGAACCCCCAAACUGUACCGAGUUCUGGACCAUUUGAAUAGUUCCUGGUUUGAUUUCAAAGGCAUUGGCUGCGAUUGCAGGCCUGACAAUGCUUGACUGGAUAUCAUCGAUCUUUGGCAUAGAGAAAUCCUUCAAUGCCUUACUGUCUGUUUGUGCUUCAGGUUCUGUCAUUUUUUCAGAAUCAGAAGAAGAAGAUGAAGAUGAAUCAAUUGCUUUUUUACGAGCUUGAGAACGUGUUAGUAAAAACGCGAUCCAAGUACCUGAAAUAAAGAAAAGAAGAAAAGUGAGAAGAGAAUAGAAUCCUAGUCAGUGAAUUUUAAUGCACACUGAUGACAAGUACAUAAACUAAUUAAUUAACACCGAGUCCCCGGCAGCGGCGCCAAAAACUUGUUCGCAAAAAAUCUACACGCAAGCGCACGUGAUCACAAGUAAUAUAUUAAGUUCGAUCCCACAGAGACUGGUGAAUUAAGAAUACGCACCUAUGCAACAAUGUAUGAUCAAUUUUCACUGCCAAGACAAUUAACAAGGAUGGUUUCUUUUAUACUAAUAACUAAAAUUACUAAUCAAAUUCAGAAUAGGAAAACACAUGGGAUUCUAACUUCAUUAUCGAAUUCAUCUAGAAUUGAAAUUACUGAUUAAUAUGCGACUGUUGAUCCUAAUCAGACAACACGAAAGUAAUACAUGCCAACUCUCGUUGCACACAUAUCAUACCAAUCGAAAUCCACAAUUAAGAUAGAAAUCUCAUGGACACCAACAAAGCUCAGACCCUAUAUCUCUAUAGCGGUAGUGUAAGCAGAGAGGUUUAAUAGCAAGUCGUCUAUCGUGAUUACACAGGGUGAUAAAAAUAGUUCAAGUCUACCACAAAUUAUGUUUCAUUCACAUAAUCCUAUGUUUACAUGGCAUAGUUCUAAAUUCAAUCAUCCACUCUCGCUUCAGAAAGAAUUAACAAACAACUUAGAAGUUAGCUACACUCCUAAGAAGAAUAAGCACGGCUCAUGCAAAGAAAUCAACGUACGUCACACAAUCAAGUAAUUAAUAUUCGAUACUAGAUUACAUCGAUAAAUCCAUUAGAAUCCCAUGAAGGCGGUUAGUUCAUAAUCGAGCUAAUCGACAUCAUGGGUUCUAAUGAAAACAUGAUAAAUAAAAGACAAGAAUUAAACGGAAUAAAAAUGCUUGAAUUAAUAAUAAUAAGGAUCACACGUUACAGAUUUGAUGUUCACGAUCUUGCUCGAAACUGUCACUUCCUCGCAAAGAACGAUCCAAUACAACUGAUAAUGUGCUUUGAUACAAAAGAAAACUAACUAUGAAAUUGUUUCGAUAUUCUACGAUAAAAACUACUUCUCCGAGGCUAGGGUUUUUACACUUGAGAGAUUAAAAUGCUUUGACUAAGUCAACCGGGCCUCGUCCGCUGCGAAAAUCCAUCAGCAAAGCUAUAAAAAUCGGCCCGGAACACUUCUGGAGGGCGCCACCGCGCUAUACUAGCGCGGGCGCGCUAGUGGCAGCAGUAGAUAGCGCGGGCGCGCUAGAGGUUAGCGCGGGCGCGCUACUGUCUGCCACUGGCAGCCCAAUUCUUCGUUUUUCAGCUCGUUCUCGCGUGCAUGUCCUUCCUCGCUCUAGUACCACUUCCGUAGGUGAUCACGGUUGCAUUUAGCAUAUGCAACAAGCCCUUUAAACCCCUAGAUAGCUCUAGUGGACGAGUGUGCUCUCGUGAGGGUUUGUAGAAGAUAUACCCACAAAAUCCCAAGUCGCGAUGAAUCCACAAUUCUCUAUUCUUGCAAAUAAUGCACUAAAAACAACCUAAAAUGAUAGAAAAUCACUUCAUCACCUCAACUCGUGACCUGCACAGAAAAACAAUAAAAACACAUCAAAAGACACUAAACACUUAAGUACAACCAACCAAUUUAAGUGGAAAUGAAGGCCUAUAAGUGUGUAUAAAUACCACUUAUCACUUACUUUGUAUGAUUUACUGAUACUAUUGGCAUGUGAAUAUCGCAUAUAUGCCUUUUUUUUCUUUUUUUUGUAAGAGUGUUUUUCUUUCUCCGUGAUAAUAUUUCGAGCCCUCCUAGGUACGCAAACACAAAGCAGGAAUAAAUGAUAUAAGUUGUGGAAGGGUUAGAGUAGCACUCUUAAAUGGGAAUGGGAAUGAGGGGUAUGAGAUUGUGUAUCCUAGGGAGUGUAAGGAAUGAAGUACCAUCCAAGUGGGAUUGGGAUUCCUCAUGUUACAAAAUUGUUAAUCCAAACACCAACAUAUAGGUUUGAGGUUCCGAUUCCCGUUAACCGGAUUCAUUAACCAUUAACCAAACGCCUCCUCAAAUUGUUAAAACCUCGGCGAGGCGAUUACAAGAACCAAACAUGGUAUAUUAGUAUCUAGAAGAGUGAAAAAAAUACAGCAGGCAUGGCUGCAAUUGCAUCAGGUAAAUAGAGUGGAGAAGCGCCGGCAACUGGCCCUGGUGCAGGUCUGGGUGCUUCAGCUCAUGCCGCUACAUGACUAGCAACAAGCACUAGGACCAUCACUGAGAUUGCAACAACAUUGGCAACCUGAGAACCUUCCAUAGCUCUCUGAAUUCUAAAGUUUCAAAAGGAAAAGUACGCGAAAGCAGAGAAUAUGUAUACUAGUGAAGCAAGGUUGAAAGGUUUGUGCCAGUAGAGGAUGAUGGAUUACAAGGGGAUGCUAAGAGAGAACCAGCCAGUUGUGUUCUAGGCUCUUAUAGUUUUUAAAGAUUGUUAUAGGCUUAUAAGUUUCCACAGAUGUGUAAUCAUUUCCAGGUGCAUGUGAUGAUAGACAAACGGCCGGCUAGAUUAUAUUUCUUAUCAUCUGAAUUAUUAUAAUUAAGUGUUAAGAAAAUAAGAAACAGCCGCCUAUGUUCGAAUCCACAAAACCCACCUAUAUACAAAACAUUCCCAUUCUGUUCACCCUUUCAUAACUUUAAGCUGCUAGUAACUUUUUCCUAGGAGUUCUGGGGUAUCUCAAGACAUUCUGCAUCUCAAGCAGCUCUUGUUAACUGUGUUUUUAAUUGUUUAAUUAUUUAUAUGAGCAACCGGCAAAAUAUUAUUUUAUUAUGUUUAUAUUUUGAAUGUGUUUCAUUAAAAAAAUUCAAUUAUAAUAAAGGAAAAUUAAGUUGAUAAGUAAGAAAAUGGGUGAGAUAACAUGUCAAUAAAAUAUCAUCAAAAAUUUUAUCGAUAUAUAAUCAUCACGGACUUGUCAAUAUUUGGUAAUUCUGCUUUACCAUCAAACUUUUAUAAAAUUCUAAUAAUCAUCAAUACACAAUGAUGCAAGUUUCAACAUUCUAAUUGAUUUAUUAUAAUAUCAUGAAACUUAUUUGUAAUUUUUAUAAUAUAUUUAUAUUUAUCGAAUGUAAUAUAUGGAUAACAUAUUAUUGUAGUAUUUAUCUAGCAUAGUUCAAAAUAUCUCGUAAUGACGGAUGACAUAUACUAAACAUACAUACGAUAUUCUUUUGUUUUCUCCAAAAUCUUAAAGGAUCAUCAUAAGAAUUUUAUUAUUUUAGUUAGAAGCAGAGAAAACUGGGUUUAAUAUAACAAAUCAUCACAUAGUUAGUAGCAGACAAAAUAUGAAUGAUUCCAAUAUUUUUGUUUCACUAGUUUAUUCAUAAAAAGCGCUGUAGGAAUCAAAGUCACGUAGUUUUCAUUGUUUGGUACAGAGGAAGUUUUCAUAUGUUCGUUCUCUUUGUUCAAAUGCGCUUUUGUAUGUUAUAGUUGUCCUUACCUAAAAUUUCAAAAUAAUAUUAAAAAUUUUGUCAAGUUUUUCAACAGACCUAAUUGCAAAAUGGUUCAGUCUAGACUAACUGUGUUUUGUUACUAAUUAUAUAGUGUAUUCUUAACAUAUUUAAAGCCGAAUUUUGAAUCUUCUAGCUCAUCUAUUACUUAAAAUUCAGGUAACAAAGUGCAGUAUAGUUAACCUGAAUCAAUUAAAAUUUUGUGAGAUAAUAGUAUUAAAUCAAUCAUCAAAAACAUGAUCAGGAGUGUUAUGCAUUAGCACUGAUACAAAGUGUUAGUGCAGUGAAAAGAAGAGAAAAUUGCAAGGACAAGCAGAACAUUCUUGAUCCCAUUUCAUUCAUUGUUACACAAACAAGAGACAGUUGGCAUGUUGUUCCCUCUUCUCCAUUGAUCCUAACUUAAGUUGUAAAACACAAACUUCGCUCUCUCCAAAUUGGAUCAACCACUUUAGAAAAAACUCUGAAAACCGCAAUGGAGAGUUUCAAGAUUGCUAAACUUUUUACCAUGUGCAUUAUGGUUCUUGUUAAUUACUUUUUCUAAUCUGGGAGCCUCGGCUGUACCUGAAGAUGUUGCAGCACCUGCAGUACUAUCACCAACAAGUGCUGGAGCAGCCUUGUGUGUACCAGCUGCUCUUGCUGUCCUGGCUUCUCUCGUUUCUUAUGUCUUUUAGUUAUUUCGUUCCAUGACUUCUUGGGUACAUGGAGAUGUUCUAAAUAUUCCUUUUGAGCUGUAAUCUGGUGACUUUGCUCUGACAUUGUAAGACACAGAGAUGUUUUGACAAUAUAGCAAAAUCACAUAACAGAGAAUUCAAAUUUAUAAUAGAAACUUGAACUAGUGAUAGCAGAGAGACUUGCUAGAUAUGAAUUGUGACCUCAAUGUAAGACAGAAAAUCCGAUCUCACCAUGCAAGACUACGCUGAAAAUAGGAGAUAAAUUAGACGACCAUGAACACUUAAUUUUUUCCUUAGAACUUAUCUCGAAUGAUCAACACAUAAAUUAUCAAAAAGGUAUUUAUCAAAAUACUAUUUUUUGUAAGUUUUUUCACAAUUUUACUAUCUUCUGAAACUAAUUGCAAAUAUAUUAUGCAACUUUCGAUUUUUAAAAAAAAUAUAUUAUCUUAACAAAAAUGAUGCAAGACAAACAAUUAUGAUAAACAACGGGAGGUAGGGGCAGAGAGAGUUGAGUUGGUGGGCGAGGCAAAGGGCUGCAAGCAUAGGAAGAGGAAGAGGAAGAUGAUGAUAUAUGAGCUGAUUUGAUUAUGUUUUUUUCCUGAUUGCAUGAGAAUUAAGUAAAGAGAAAUUCCUAAUGGUACCAUUGUAGAAUUGGUUUUUCCAAAUGGUACCAAUGACUAUUUUGGACUUCCAAGUGGUAACACCCAACUUUUGACUUCAUCCAUCACAUACCACUCCGUUUAGUUAACGUUAAUAAAACGUUAAUCCAUUGUGAUUUAAUUAAAAAAAGUAAUUAAAAUAAAAUGAUUUAAAAGUAAAAAACAUGAACUUGGGUUAUUAGUCGGGUACCAAAGUUUAGUGUAUAUGAACCAAACACACACGCAAAAUUAGGGUUUCAUGGAAAGAGAGGAUCGAUCGAGAUAGUGUACAAUACAUCCACUCGCCACUUAAUUCAACACUGAUCAAAGUAUAAGGUAUGCAUUUCACCUUCAAUUACUCUAUAUAAUCGAUACAUAUAUAUCUUUGGCGGCUUAAUUCAUUGUUUUAGGGUUUAUCUGUGUAUAUGUGCGAGUUUAUCUGUGUGUAUGUGUUUAUGUAUGAUACUGAACAAUUUUUGACUCCCCUGUAAAUGAGGUUUUUUGGGUUUGCAUAAUAUACAUUGAUAUGUAUAAUACUCAUAACUGUUAACUGGUGCAUUGGGUGUAAUAUGAAUGUCAUCAUAUGUGCAGAUGGGGAAAGUAUUAAUUUUUCACUGGAUGGGUACUCAAGUAGAGGUUAAGGUUGAUUUAGAUAAAACCACACUGCUGGAUAUUAUUGUUGAGUAUGAAGAGUUAGGGAAAAAACAGAGGUUGAGGUUAGAUUAUGCUUAUCCAACAUUUGAUUAUGCAUUUAUGAUGAAGCAUCACAUGUUAGAGUCAGAUAAGGAUUUAAUGAAAAUGUUUGAAAGGUUUUCUGAUGCAAGUGAAAUUCCUAUGUGGGUAGGAACUGUGUUGAAACCAAGUCCUUUAUAUAAAUUGGUUUUGAAUUUGAGAAGAAGACAAUGCAGAACCAAGAGAUAAUGCAGAAUCAGAUGACAAUGUAAUGCCAAAAGUCAAAGACAAUUGGAAACCUGAUCAGUGGCAUGGUUUUAUUGAUGAUGAAGAUGAUAAUGAGUACUCUCAAAGGUUAUACAAAAAUGGAGAACUGUAUGAAGAGAAGGAGUUUGGUAAGAUUGUCUUGAAACCUUGGAUGAUUUUUUUAGAUAAAGCUCAUCUCAAAAAAAAAUUGAAAGAUUAUUGUGUGCAAGAUUAUUGUGUGCAAGUGGCAUUCCAUGUAGGCAUGCCAUGAGGGCUAUGGUUCAUGCAAAAAUUGAUCCACAUUCUGUUGUAAGCACAUGGUAUUCUGUUAGGACAUACAAAUAUUCUUAUAGUUUUAGUAUUAAUCCUAUACCUGACAAGAACCAAUGGCCUGCCUAUGAUAAUCUACCUACUGUCAUGCCGCCUACAAUUAAGAGAGGGAUCGGGAGACCAUGCAGAAACAGAAGAAGGGAGGAAGGAGAAGAUGAAAAGGGGAAAAGAGCAAAAACUGUCAAAUGCACUAAGUGUGGUUGCCUAGGCCACAAUGCAAGAACUUGUAAGGGAGGGUUAACUGCAAAAGAAAAGAAGGCAGAAGAAGAUGGGCCAAUGAUAGUUAGACAUCCCAGAAUUAGCGAUCAAUCCAAUACGGCAAAAGCAGCCAAGGCAUCGCAGAAAAAGGCAGCUCAAGAUCAGGCAAAGAAGGCCAAGACAUCUCAGUCAACUGAAGUUUCUGUUUCUCAAUCACAGCCUCAAAACACUUCUUAAUCAGCUAGAAUUAUGUUGCAUAUUUUGCUUAAUUAUUCAUGCAGACUUGUUGCAUAUUUUGCUUAAUUAUUCAUGCAGACUUAGUUGCAUAUUUUGGGCAUUUUAAUGCAGACUUGUUCAAUAUCUGGAUAUUGUAAUGCAGAACUGUAGGUUGGUAACAGUAUUUUGGAGGGAAAACUCUUCUGAAAUUAUAUUUAACGUUUGCUUAACAUUUCUCUAACAGAGUCUUAUGUGUUGGAAGAAGUCAAUAGUUCAAUGUUACCGUUUGGAAGACCAAAAUAGUGGCUGGCACCACUUGGAAAAGCCAAAUCUACAGUGGUACCAUUAGGAAUUUCCCUUAAGUAAAACUACUAUUGUCUUUCACUCAUUGAAGAACUGUUAACCAAAAAAUUAUUGUUCAUAUAAAAAUUGUGAUCACAGUAGUUAGUUGAUACAUAAACAAUUUUGUUUUCUCUUAUAUCUCAAAACAAAACUAAAAUGCAUGUGAACCGAAAAAAAGAUGAUUUCAACACUGAAAACACGAAAUUUUGCGUUAAAUAUAGAUAUGUGUCAUAUAAUUAGUGUGCGUCUCACCCAACUCAUUUUAGUUAGCAAGCUUCCUCCCUCAUGAAACUUAUAUUUUUCUUUCAUAAGGAUUCCAUUUUCAUUAUUUCUUCCCUGUUAAUAAGUUUACUAUUUGUGAUCAGAAAACGGAAAAGUUCAGUGACCUAAGAUACGGAAUCUUUAGUUCAGGGACCUAGAUAAUAAAACGUCAAUAGUUCAAGGACUUAUAAUUUAAUUUUCUCUUUUCUGAAUUUACAAGAAAGUCAAUAUUUUCAUCAAAAUGUCCGUAAGAAUCAGGUUCAUAAAGUUUUGACGUUUUUCAAGUGUUGGAAAUGGUUUUUGAAUGACGAUAUCAAUUAACAAUGUCAGUGGCUUAUAAUCAUCGAUGCUACAAUGAUGAUCCUCCUGAAGUUUAGUCUUUGAUGGCUAGUGUUUUGCUAAUACUUGGCCUGGAAGAUAAUCUUUGUUUCAUUCCAAAUAAUUUUUGUCUAGCGAUAUUUUCACUUUAAUCAACAACAGAGAAAGAGUCCUCUCCUUGUCUGAAUGCUCUUGUACUUGUAUAUGACAUUUUAAACUAAAUAAAAAUGCCAAAUAUUUCUUGUUAUCAAGAGCAGAAAUAUUUCUGUUGGGAUAAAUAUGUAAACAUGCUUAAUUACUUGUUAUGAUUUUAAUGUUGUAUUAUCAAACUUAUGUUAUUCUGUUCAUAUAGCAGUGACUAGUAACUACUACAUGUGUCUGGGUUAUAUUUCUUUAAUCUAUAUGAUUAUAUAAUUAAAUAAGAGGAGAACAUGAAUACAUGAUCAUUAGGUGCAUUAGCACUGAUACAGAGUGUUAGUGGAGUAAGAUGCAAUGAAAAAAAAUCUAAUGACAGCCGAAACAACCUUGAUUAUUUGUUAAACAAACAAGAAACAGUUGGCAUGUCCUUGUGAAGUCCACAAGACCAACCUAUAUAAUGCAUUGCCAUUCCCUUCUCCAUUCAUAACUUAGUGGCAAAACACACUUUUAACUCUAUCCCUAUUGUGUUAAGCACUUCAGAAAAAGCUUUGGAAAACGCAAUGGAGAGUUUUAAGAUUGCUAAAGUUUUUACCAUCUGCAUUAUGCUUGUUGCUUUCUCCAAUUUGGAAGCCUCAGCGGCGCUUGAAGACGUUGCAGCACCUGCACCAUCACCAACAAGUGCUGGAACAGCAUUGUACGUACCAGCAGCACUUGCUGCAGUGGCUUCUCUCGUUGCUGCAGUGGCUUCUCUCUUUUAAUUUUUUUUGUUUAUCUAAUCUUUGGGUAUGUGUGGGUGUCCUGUAUCCUUUUGAGUGGUUAUCUGGUAUUGAAUUUGCAUAAGUAUUUAAGGAGGCAAGAUUUAUCCAUUUAUAUAAACAGAAAAAUGAGCAAUAUUUCUAAUCUUAUAUAUGUAAAUCUCAUAAGCUAGACACGUACUCCUGCAGUUUUGGCUUCUGCUAUACACAGAACAGAGAUUUAAUGCAAAAAAAAUGAUGACCAAAAUGACUUACAGAGAAAGAUCGUAUUUCUUCAAAAACCUGCUACAUAAAGAUGAAUACUGACCACACCUCAGACACGCGCCAAAUUGGUCAAAGUUAGCAUAAAUCACUUAACCUUCUAUUUACUUAUACAAAGAGCAAGUCCAAGAGAUGUCAUAUAUCAUGUCCUAAGUUAUAAUUUAGGGCAAUUGAUGAAAAACCAACAAUGUCCUAGUGAUGCCUUAUAUCACUAGGACAAACUUCUCCGGCCCUAUUUUUGGGGCACAUCUCUCCUUGCCCUAUUCUAUAUUUUAUUAUAAAUUCUAAUCAACACUCUAUUUCUCUUUCUACUUUUCUAUUAUGCUUUAAUGAUGAAAGAGAGUAUUUUAAUAAUAAAAUAUUAGACAUAUUGUGAAAAUAAGAUACAUUGUUAGAGUUCAAGUUAGUAAAAUAUGUCCUAAGUUACUUGUGGACAUGAUAUUUUAUAUUAUAUUUGAGACUUGAACUAGGACAUUUUUGGACUUGCUCUUAGCCCCUAACAGGCGAGGUAUAACAAUUUACCAGAUUAGCUUGAAGAACACGGAUUUACCGACAACCAAAAAGUUCAAAUUAUCUAAAUGGACGCCAACAAUUAGUGUAAAAAACCGAGGGGAAUGCUAGGCACCUUAAAUUAUUUUCCCAAAAAUGCUCCCCAAAUAAGUGAUGUGUCAACUUGAGAUGAUUAUAUUGGGGGGUUGAUAUAACUGCAGGGAGUUCAUGUCUAUUUAAUGGCUCGAUAUCCAAUCAGAAGAUGACACGUGAAAUGUGGAAAAUUUUUGGAGAAAUUUUUUGGGUACUAGCAUUUUCCAAAAACUAAUACAAGCUAAAAAUUUGUGACAGCUAAUAAGCUAAGAUUAGGGUUGUGUUACUUCAGUUUAUUUGAAAGAAUAUUUACGAAGCAAGUAGCAAGUAAAGUAUUGAUAGUUUAGAAUUGAUUAUGAGAUCUUAAUAAAUGAUUAGUUGCUAAGAAUUCUGAAAUAUAGUUUAUGUACUGUACAAGAUUUUUAGUUGAUAUAAAAUUUAAAAUAUAGUAGUAUUAAAAUAUUAAAAGGGUAGCAAUCUUUGCAAUCCGUGAGACAAGACGUAUCAUAAAAAAACUAACCAACUAUAAAUUCGUUAGUUGAUAUAAAUAAUUUUGAUAUCUCCUAUGUCUCACACCUAUUUUAUUUAAUAAAAAUAUGAAAAUAACAAUAUAAAUAGUUUAAAUGUAAUUUUUUAAAUUAGAACAAUGAAAUAAAUAAUUAAAAUAUUAAAAGAGUAGCAAUCUUUGCAAUCCGUAAGACAGUACACAUCAUAAAAGAAUUAACCAACUAUAAAUUCAUUAGUUGAUAUAAAUAAUUUUGUUUUCUCCAAUAUCUCACACCUAUUUUAGGUAGGGGUGUUCGCGGUGCGGGCGGUGCGGUUUUUUCCUAAAACCGCGAACCAACCCGCGAAUGCGGUUUGAGAAAAUUCGUAAACCGUAACCGCACCGCGUAAUGUAAAAACCGCGUAAACCACACCACAAGAUUACGGUGCGGUGUGGUGCGGUUUGUGUGGUUUAUACAUUCAGAAAAAUUAUACUUUUGAAUGACAAUCACUACAACAAAACUGAAAUCAGACAACACUAAUCAGACAACGGACCCUGAAAAAAGUGUUGGCCGAAACAAAGACACAACACUUUAUUUUCGUCCUCGAAAAACUAUUGUCUAACACCUACGACCUACAACGGUUAAAAAACUGUUGUCUAGUAAAUUUAAUGAGACAACGGUAUCUUAAUUGUGGUAUUGUGUAAUGAUGCACGUUAGACAACUGUUUUUAGAGCUGAUGUGUGAAGAAACUUCAGACAAUAUUUCAAAAAACCGUUGUUGUAAUUAGACAAGUGUUUUAUUUGUUGUGUUGUUUACGAGGAGUUCAAACAAGGGUUCCAUAUAGUGUUGUGUGACUGGAAAACUAACAUACAAGUGUUUUAGAUAGCAUCGUAUCUAAACCUUAUAGACAAGCCUUUAACUCAUUACAACAGAUUCAGCAUCACACAACGGUUUUUGCCCGUUGUCUGAGACCACGAAAAACCGUGGUCUAUCGAGACGCCGUCUGAUAUGCGUAUCAGACAACGGUGCGCACCGUUGUGUGAUAGUGCUGAACACGAUGGUUUACGUUGAAAAAAUUGUUGUGCAACACCCAGAACCAACAAUGUUUUCUAUUAAACGUGGUGUUGUUAGAAAUUCUUCUUAACAAUAGUUGCUUUCAAAAAUAAUGUUGUUAGAGUGGCAAUCCACAACAGUUUUAGUUUCUCCAGACUUGUUGAAAGGAGGAUCAUACAACGAUACUUAACAAGGGCAUGCUUGUUGUUUAUGCUUGACUACAACGGUUACUGAUAUAAAGGUUCUUGUUUAAGAACUGUUCUUACAAUACUUUGUCUUUUCAAUUGUUGUGCUAAAUCCUUCAUACAUCAAUUUUUCCAACAAAAUAGCUUGACGAAUAUGUCUUUAGACAACGUUUUAUUUAGAAAGGUCCAAUUGUGUAAGGACCCUUUUCACAAUAUGAGCAUUUUUAAAGUGUUGUGUGAAAUCUCUUAUACAACGGCUUAUGGUCAAGACAAGCUCGUCCAAAUAUAUGUUUACACAAGGCUUUUGGUUUUUUGUAAUGUUGUUUGUACAUUUCUUAGACAAUGGAUUCCAUCUCCAAAUGCCUUUGUCUUUGCGCAUCUUAGACAAUGGUUUUUGCUCUCAUUACUCUUGUUAAUCAUUCGUUUAGACAAUGGUUUUAAAAGAUGGGGAUGAUUGUUUAAGUUCUAUGAGACAAUAUUCUUUUACCACCGUGAGCAUUGUAUUAUGUUAUCUAUAACAAUUGUCAUAUAUAUUUCCCAUUAGCUAAAAGUAUAAAAGACAAUGGUUUUUAUCAAAGUGGCCGUUGGAUCAUGUGACUUGUACAAUGGCCAUAUACAUGUCCCCAUUAGCUAAAAAUGAAACAGACAAUACUUUUUCAUUACAUAAAAAACUAGGCUAGAGAAUGAAAUCAAUGCCGUCAAAAAUUAGUAAAUAAAAUAUUCAUUACCAACAUCAAAAGCCACCACAUACCAACAAUCUUCACAAUUUAUCCAACUAUGUUUCCAACCAAACAUAAAAGCCAAACCGAUUCAAAAACCAACUAAUAUUCACAUAUCAUCCAACAAUACUAACCAAGGCAAACGCACCUAACAAUCCAAAAACCCACCAACAGAUUCUACCAAUCUUGACACGACAAUGUCUUGUAUUUUCGGAUGCACAUAUCCAAAAAAGACAUACAUGGAUAUAACUUAAGUCUAAAUUUAGGCAAAAUAAGCCAUGUAAUAAGUCCCAAUAUAUAUAAAUNNNAACCCCAAGAUUAAAAACAAAAUCAACGGUCAGAUGCAUGGUCUCUAUAUAUAUAUAUAUAUAUGUGCAUCCGAAAAUAAUCAGUCCUCUACGCAGCCUAACUAGCAUGCUGCCUCAUGAAGUACUUUGCCCAGGCACUCCUGGUCUCAUUGAGAUCAUCGCUAUCAAAGACAAGAUUGCUCCUCCGUGCCCACUGAAAUAAGGAAAAUUGUUAGAGAAAGUCAUAGUUUUUAGCACAAAACACAAGAACAUAGAAACAGAAUGUUUAUACCUUGGAUGCAAACUUGAGUUCCUUGUCUAUACAUAUUUCUCUCAUAUAAAGCAUCACAAAAAGACCACAAUCAGUGGUCCCAGUCUGGGCAGGAAUACCCUGAAAAAUAAAACGGUCACAUGUCUACCCUACACUUAUAAAGAUCAAUUAAUUUACUAAGACUUGGGUUAUAAAAAUAAUUAUAUCGCUAAAUUCUCCCAAUUUAUUUUCUUCUUCAGAAACCUCUUCACAUCCUCCUUGUAAAUUUUUAUGCCACUACAACAAAAUUUAAUAAAUGAGCAUAAAGACAUUUCUUCAAUUAAUUAAGAAUUAACAGAUCUUCGUACUCACUUGUUAACAACUUCAAUCCAUUCUUCAUUUGCAAUUCGCCACUUUAACGGGUCCAAGUGAUAAACCAUUUGUGCAUCGGGAUUUACAACAGUAAGUGCCCAGUGGUUCCUAGACAAUAAAAACCAAGCAAUAUAUAGACUUAAACAUGUCCAAAAAUAAAACUUUAUGCUAAUAAUAUACAUGGUAAAAAGGAGACAAAAAAGUGUACUUACGUGUGGUGAUAUGGCAAAAGAAAGACUUGGGAUGGCUUAGCACUUUUGAAUCUGAGAGCAAGGGCGCGUGACCUCGCUGCUGGAGUACCACAACCAAGAGCCCCAAUCUUGGCUGGAUCAACAAAAGAUAUCAUGUCUGUCAUUUUGUGCUUUCUUAAAUUUUCCUGGAGUAUACUGCAUAAAAGAAGUAGAAAAUCAUAACAAAAAAAUCAAAAUUCCAUUCAAGAAGUAAAAGAAAAGACAACAAAAAAAUAGAAUAGGAGCACUCACUUGAUAAACAUGCAAAUGACAGUUCCUGAUAUUUCACCUCCAAAGCACACAUCACUUAUGUCGGAUUUAAACAAACACUUUUUAUCCGAUGAUCCAAAAGCUUCUUCGGAUAACUUGAACGCCUAUGAACGACCAUCCUUCAAAGCAUCGCUUGCCCAAAGCCACAAUUUUUUCAAAGUAGGAGGGAAGUCAGGGCCCAUAUUAACCACUGGCUCUGGUUCCGAGACCAAGUCAUUCACCUUCUUCAUUUUUCUUGGGCCAUUCUUCUUGCCUCCCUAUAAGGAUAUUUAUAAUUUUUUCAACUAAUUAAUGUAGAAUAUAUAAAGCUAUUAGUACAUUAUAUUCAGAUAUUUUUCUCAAAUAGCACACUAUAUUUAGCUAUUUUUCUCAAACAUGUAGCUAUUUUUCUCAAAUAUUACACUAUACUUAGCUAUUUUUCUCAAAUAUGUAGAUUUGAACAAGAUAAAUGACAAAGAAAAGAUGGAGCUGUUAAGUACCUUCACUGCUCGAGACUUCACCCGAUCACUGUUUGCCUUCACUUCCAGUAACAUGUUUUUUCACUUCCCGUAACAUGUUUCUCGGCCAUGCAAUGAAAGUUCCAACAUCUUGAUCUACUGUGAUGAUUUCAUCAUCAAUUGGGAAUGGGAUCUCAGCAGCUCCCUGGAUAACACGAGUAAUUGAUACUCGUACGUUAUCUCCUCCAAGUGGCUUCCCAUGAAGAACAACAGUGACAAAGUCAACUGUUGCAUGAGCAACAAUGUUGGUUGGGGUUCCAAUUGCUAACUCCCAUAGAAUACCUUCAUUUUCCUCAUCCACUUCCACAUCCUUGUCCUCAACUACAAGAUACUCAACUCCCUUCUCUUCACCACUGCUCUUUAAUUCAGCAACAUCUUUUUCUUUACCCUUGUUCUUCUCUUCAUCAUCAACUUCAUGAAAAUCAAUCUCAGCUUCUUUCCCGUUAGGAGAUUCAUUGAGAUCCUAUUUCUUUUUAACAGCUGUCAAUUGCAGCACAUUCUCAAGUCCUCCUUUUGAACAACUUCCUUGUUGUGAUCCAAUAUUUGGACUCCCAUCAACUUGUUGUGAUCCAAUAUUUGGACUCCCAUCAAUCUUUAUACUUAAAGCUUCUUUCAGCUUUGCUNCAUCAGUCGACAACUGAUGUGAAAACCUUACUCACACAUCAUUUUUUACUGAUAUUCAGAUGUCUAUGCCACCAUUUCUUACAAAAUAUAUUACUUUUACUUAAGUUUAUACUAAAGUUACUUUUUUUUCUCUUCUGUCUUGGCAGAUUAAAAUAGUUGGAUUGCUUAACAUAACUCCCCUGACCACGCACCCGUCCUCGGUGCUCAGAGUUACCAAGAACCUUGGUCAAGACAUCAUUAGUGCCUUCCUCUGUCACUUCCCCCUCUUCAACUUUCUUCUUCAUCUUCUCCUACAAUUAAACAAAAAGUAAUAAGUCAUCAUUUAUACGCCAUAUUUGAACAGAAAAAGUAAAACUCUAAGAUAACCAAAACUUAACAUAAUUAUCACAGAUGGAAAAUAAAAAUAGACAGCAUCCAAAUUUUAUUUGGUAAACAAGCACUUACAAUUUCUUCAGCUAUGGUUACAAGUUUUUCUGUCUUGUAGUUCCCAGCUUUAUCACACCGCGCACGGAGCCAUGUACUUGCUCGGUCUAUCUCGAUUUCAGGAUCACCACCAGACUACAUGUUCAUUUAAAAAAUUAAAAUCAGAACAUAAUUAAACAAUGUAAUUGAAAUUAAAAUCACUUAUAUUAAUGAUCACUAACCAUUUCCUGUUCGAGAUUUGCAUAACCCUUGCGAGACAUGUAGUGACCAUAUUUAUUCAUGCUCUUUAUGUUUUUAUGUUUAUUGUGUAAUUCCUUCAUAAAAACAUAAAAAAAUAUUAGUAACACAGAUAUCUCCCAAUGGGUAUGCAACAAUUUGUAAAUGAAAUAAAUUAAAAACUCACAAGGAAAUCAGGAGAUAAACGGUCAGCUACAAAGAUAUCCCAGUGUGCCUUCUCAAUGAAGUUAUAGUCUGCUGGAGGAGAUUCAAGCAACUCCGGUUGAUCACGAUAUGGAAGAAUAUAAGUCGUUGUUAAACGGCUCUUGAAUUCUCUCCACUUCUGGCACGCGGAUUUCAACACAAUCCGCCUUGCUGUUAAAGGUAUAUCGAACGCCAUCUACAUACAUAAUCAUAUUCAAUAAAUUAGUAGGUAUUCAAGAAUCAAUAAGAAUUAGAAACAUCAUGUAGUUUAAGUCAUGCAACUAAAUUUACCUGCACACAGUCCCAUAUUUUAUUUUUUUUUCUUUCGGAACUCGUUUCCAAGUUUCAUACCAGAUUGGGGCCUUAGUUCUCGCAAGAACCCCAAUAUAGGACUGCAUCUCUCUGGCAACUUUACCAUAUGGCUCACCCUUUGCAUUGAAAGAAACCGCUAACUUGAUUCCCAACAUCUUACGCCUAAGAAUCCGGACCAUCGUAACAGGUCCUCGUUUCAAAUGCUUAACUCCUUGUUCGUUAUCUAUAGGCCCUUCUUCCCUUUGUUUCUGCUUCUUACUCAAUUGCUGUUGUAGAUUUGUAGAAAUGGCCUUCUUCUUUUCAGAUUUAGGUGAAGAACUCUGAGGGGGAGGCUGCACAGUGCUUCCUUUUAAUGCCUUUUUAGCUAGCCCACUUGUCUCCCCUGCAACAUGGUUUUUUGUUGAUGCCUUAAGCUUCUUAGACGUCCCACUUGUCUCUCCUGCUGAAUGGUUUCUUUUUAAUGCCUUCAUAAGGUUGACUUUAGUUGUAUUCAAAGAGGAUCUUGUCUUCCUUGUAGGAGCCAUAAUGACUUUAGUUGUAUUCAAAGAGGAGCUUGUCUUCCUUGUAGGAGCCAUAAUGCUCUGCACACCACAAAAAAUCAUAAACCCCACAAUACUACAUAACCCACAAAAAAGAUACCCAUAAAGACUUCCCAUGACCCACUGUAAUCAAGCAUAAUAAGAUAUUAACACAAAAAAAUCAAUUUGUAAACCCUAAAAACACAAAAUCAUGAACACAAAAAAGGCAUAAUCCUUAAACCCACAAUACUACAUAACCCACCAAAUAAAGACUCACAAACACUGUCCAUAACUCACUGUCCUCAAGACAUAAACCGAUAUUAACACAAGAAUUGAUUUAUAAACCCUAAAAACAAAAAAUCAUGGACACAAAAAAUCAUAAACCCCCAAUACAUUAUAACCCACAAAAUAGAAACCCACAAACAUAACCAUAACCCACUUGAAUCAUGCAUUACAAAUCUUAACCCACAAAACAGAGACUCACAAACAUGACCCAUAACCCACUAUAACCAUUAACCACACAAUUUAAAACUAAACAUAACCCACUGUAAUCAAGCAUCACAAAAUCAAGAACUAAACAUAAAUCUAAAAUUAAAGAUGAGAGAGAGGUACCCAACUUUGAGAGAGAGCGAAGCGAGCACGAGGUGAGAGCGAGAGGGGGGUGGUGAGAGCGAGAGGGGCGACGUGAGAGUUAGAGCGAGAGGGGCGAGGUGAGAGUGAGAGCGAGGCGAGGUGAGAGAUGAGAGUGAAGUGAGAGAUGAGAGAUGAGGCCAAAAAGAGGGUUUUGAAAUCGGUGAAAAAAAAGGGGGGAAGAAACGAGGAUUAAGACAAACAGAACAUCGAGGCUUUAAAUUAUUUUAUUUAUAUUCAGAUAUGUAAUAUCUUUAUUUUUAGACAUAUAAUAUCUUUUAUGUAAAAUUGAAUAUAUAAAUAUUUUUAUAUUUUUUUUAUUAAACUUAAAAAUUAGUAAAGCUUUUUAAAUCUUUUUUAUAUCUUUUUUUAUACAUAUCUUUUUAUAUAUCUUUUUAUAUAUAUCUUUUUCUAUGUAUUUUUAUACAUAUCUUUGUCUAUUAAAUUUGAAAUCAGGAAAGAGUAAGAUCUAGAAACAUGGUCAGACAACGGUUUCUCCUAGAAAGUAUUGUACAUAUAUACACAUAACGGUUUUUUAAACUAAGACGGUUGUCUUAUUCAUACAACGGUUUUGACAAAAAAAUCUUUGUUUGAAGGUUCUUUCUACAACGUUGACUUUAGAAAACGUUGUCCAAAGUUUAGUUAGACAAUACUCUUUUACUUUACAAAUGCUUGUCUGAACCAAAACACUUUUAAAUCCUUAAUUUUGCACGCAAUUAAUUUGUUAACAAAUCGAACUUCCGUUAACGUCCUAAAUAUUGGAUUAUCCCAAACUUACUAAGUGGUAAAAACAAAUUUACCUAGUUUUCUCAUAAUAUUUGUGACAUCGACACGUUAUUAUUGCUGUUUACAAACAUACACACGCUAAUUAGUUCUUACUUACAGGAUAGGCAAUCAAAGUAAAUUACUUUACUUGAUGUAAGUGUUUCAGUUUCUCUACCUCUUUUUGAUAUUAAGAUAUUAAGCAGGUAUCGGAUUGUCAAAAUUAACAACACGUACCAUGUAUAACAAAGAACAUAAACUUCAAAAUAAGAUUGAAAGAUAUUAAUCAAGUAUUGAAUUGUCAAAAUUAACAACAUGUACCAUGUAUAACGAAGAACCCGAACUGGAUCGUAACAUAUCUAUCAUAUGUGAUUCGUGGGACACUCGUUAAUUUAACUACUAACGAGAUAAAACAUGAUGUGUUUGUAAAAAGACAAAAUUGAUUAUUAAAAACAAUGUCGUGUUAGUGAUAUUAAUCAAGUAUUGGAUUGUCAAAAUUGACAACAUGUACCAUGUAUACGAAGAACCCGAAAUGGAUCAUAACAUAUCUAUCAUAUGUGAUUCGUGGGACACUCGUUAAUUUAACUACUAACGAGAUAAAACAUGACGUGUUUGUAAAAAGUUAAAAUGGAGUGUAAAAAAUAACGACGUGUCAGACAACCGUUUCUCCUAAAAAGUAUUGUACAUGUUAGGUACAGAUAACGGUUUUUGAAGUUAGAACCGUUGUCCUAUUCAUACAACGGUUGUUUCAUAAUUAACGUUGUCUGAAGUCUCUUUCUACAACGUUGUCUUUAAAAAGUUUUGUCCACAGUUCAUUUAGACAGUGGUUUUAUUACUAUAAAAAUGCUUGUCUGAACUUUAACACAUAAAUUGUGCACGCAAUUAAUUUGAUAACACAUAAAUUUGAUAACAUCUUUGUCGGGAUAUAUAUCUUUGUCCGAAGCCAACAUUUCAUUGAAUGCAUUAUCCAGAUCUUUGUUUGAGCUCUCGUCUUCCAUGACCCAUCGUUAAUUCUCAUCUAUCAUUGAAAAGUUUUCACCCUUCUAUCUCAUCUCUAAUUAAACACUCUACCUCCUCAUCUCCGAUUUGAACUCAUCAUCUCUGAUUUGAACUCAUCGUGUCUGGAACUCAUCAUCUCCGAUUUGAACACUCUACCUCAUCUAUUCUCUCUGGUUGAAGCUCAUUCUUGCCGAGUUGAAGGUAUUACAACACUCUACCUCUUCAAUUUUAUCAAAUUUGAAAUUAGGGUUCUUACUAAUAUUUGGGGAUUUGGGGGUUCAGACUUAAUUUGUUUUAAUUUGCUUAAUUAAGUUAGUACAUUGGAAUUAGGUAUUAAAGCACUCUAUCUCUCCAUGUGUGUUUUGAUGUUUUGCUAUGUGUGUAUUUUUUUGCUAUUGAGGCUGUUAUGCAAGAUAAAUAACUAAAUAGAUUAAAUUAUUUUACAAGAUGGACAGGUCUUGGUUGAUGGCUGAUAGAAGAACAAAGGAAUUUGAAAGAGGAGUAGAUGAAUUAUUGUUAUUUGCAUUUGAGAACGGCUGUGAUGAAAAUAAAAUCAGUUGUCCAUGUUUAAAAUGUGCACAUAGCAAGUCCUGGAGAGCUCAAACAGUGAGGUGCCAUCUUUUUCAAAAUGGUAUAGAUCAGACCUACACUCAUUGGAUAUGGCAUGGAGAGUUAAAUACCGAAAGCAAGUCUCCUGCAGAAGACACAGCUAGUUCAGAGUCGGUGGACCAAAUCCCGAUGCAACCAGAAAAUGAUGAUAUUGAUGAUGAUAUUUCUUUUGAUUCCGCUGAUGCAUUUAACCAUGUUCAAUCUGAACAUGAACCACUUUAUCCGGGGUGUGAGGGAUUUACGAAGAUGAAGGCUUUGGUAAAGUUAUAUAACUUGAAAGCAAAACACCAAGUAUCAGAUGGUUGCUUCUCUGAACUUCUAUUGUUGGUUGGUUCUAUGCUCCCGGAAGGCAACACCUUCCCUUCUUCAUUUAGUGAAGCAAAAAAAAGCUUGUGCGCUUUAGGAAUGGAGUAUGAAAAAAUUCACGUAUGUCCAAAUGAUUGUUUAUUGUAUCGUGGAGAAAAGGACGAAGAUGAGACACGUUGUCGUGUUUGUCAAGCCUCUAGAUGGAAGUUGAACAAAAAAGGAGAAGAAUUACAAGGGGUUCCGGCAAAAGUUUUAUGGUAUUUUCCGUUGAUACCACGUUUGAGGACUUUAUUCAGUUCUGCACAAACAGCCAAGGAUUUGACUUGGCAUGACACGGAGAGAAUAAAUGAUGGUAAAUUGAGACAUCCAGCGGAUUCAAAGACAUGGAAGGAAGUCGACAGUAAGUGGCCAGAGUUUUCUUCAGAUUCUAGAAACCUCCGCUUAGCUUUACCUUCAGAUGGGUUCAAUCCCUUUUACAGCACAAAUAUUGAUUAUUCAUGUUGGCCAGUUUUAAUGUCAAUCUACAAUCUCCCACCAUGGCUUUGUAUGAAGAGGAAGUAUAUUAUGCUAUGUUUAUUGAUAUCCGGACCAAAGGAACUUGGCAAUGAUAUUGAUGUGUUCCUUCAGCCGCUCAUUGAAGAUUUACAAAAUCUUCGGACUGGAAAACAAGUUUGUGACGCAUACAAGAGGGAGUAUUUCUUGCUGCGAGGCAUUUUAUUAUGGACAAUUAGUGACAAUCCAGCCUAUGGUAACUUGUCAGGGAACAUUGUAAAAGGGUAUAAUGCGUGUCCUGUUUGCGUUGAUGGAACAAAAGCAACGAGGCUGGCUAAUUACCGUAAGUGCGUGGUCAUGAGGCAUCGGAGGUGGUUGCCCCGUGCACAUCCAUAUCGAAGGAAGAAAGAAGAUUUUGAUAACACAGUGGAAAAGGGAACUGCCCCAAUUCCAUUAACCGGGGAGGAGGUUCUUGAGAGAACAAAACAUUUAAAGAGUCAUGUCUUUGGUAAGACACAACGCCAACCUCGAUUCAAAAAAGGUGAUGUUCGACCUAUUUUUAAGAAGGUUUCUAUAUUUUUUGAACUUGAGUAUUGGAAGUUUUUGCCGGUUAGACAUGUUCUCGAUGUUAUGCACAUUGAGAAAAAUAUUUGCGAAGCUUUACUUGGUACUAUGCUUAAUAUACCCAAGAAGACAAAAGACAAGGAAUCUGUCCGGCUAGACAUGGCUGAAAUGGGAAUAAGAACGGAGCUAAGGCCAAAAACUCCCGGGAAAAAGGAGAAGUUACCAUUGGCAUCUUUGAAUUUAACUCAUUCGGAAAAAAAAGUAGUUUGCUCAUCAUUUCUAGGCAUGAAGUUGCCUGAUGGCUUCUGUUCAAAUAUUAGAAGUUUAGUUUCAAUGGAAACUCUUCGACUUACUGGAAUGAAAUCUCACGACUGCCAUAUGAUCUUGCAUCACUUGCUCCCAAUUGCGAUACGGUCGUCACUGCAAAAACAGGUCAGAAACACUGUCAUUAGAUUCUGUCUUUUUUUAAGGCAAUUUGCAGUAAAGUUAUUGAGGUUGAUAAGUUGGAGAAAAUGCAAUCCCAGCUGGUGGAAACUUUGUGCCAACUUGAAAAAUACUUCCCCCCUUCCUUGUUUGAUAUUAUGUUUCAUCUCUCGGUCCAUCUUGUAUGAGAAGUAGAGCUUUGUGGACCAAUUUUUCUUAGAUGGAUGUAUCCUUUUGAGAGAUACAUGAAGACAUUUAAAGGAUAUAUAAGGAAUCGGGCUCGUGCAGAAGGUUGCAUUGCUGAGGCCUAUGUUGCAGAAGAAGCUGUUGAGUGUUUGGUGAACCAUGAGGAAGCGACAGUUGGGUUGCCAAAAAAUGGUAGGCAUAGGAAGGAUGCCUUUUGUAGGCCAUUAUCUGGUGCAUCAGUUAUAACUCCGAGCGACAAUGAUUUGCAUUUAGCCCAUUUAUGUGUUUUACAAAAUACGGCUGCGGUUGGGCCAUAUUUUAAGUAAGUCAUUUCUUAAUUUUCUUCUUAAUCCUGAUAUUAUACAUCAUUAUGUUAUCAUUUACAUAGUCUCUUUUAAUUGUAUGCAGUGAACACAUGUCAUUUUUGAUGACUAAAUAUCCGGCAAAUGAAAAUAAUGAAAUGUGGCUAAAGAAUAAACAAAAUGAGACAUUCCCAGAAUGGUUUAGAGCAAAGGUAUUAUGUGCACUUUAUAACAUUUUUGUGCAUUUUUAAAACUGUCACAUAAUUCAUUUUAUAACUUUUAUGCUAUCUUUGGCAGAUUGCUUCAGAUUUGCUUGACGAAAAGGAGAUAUCACAAGAAAUAAGAUGGCUCGCAGAUGGGCCCAAUAAGGAUGUCCCUACAUACAAUGGUUACAAAAUGGAUGGGAUUACCUUUAGCACCAAAGCUCGUGAUGAUACACGUAAUGUUCAAUGCAGUGGCGUGUGUGUUCAAGCCGAUACCAUGGUUGUGCAGGGUAAGGAUCAAAUUGUUGAGCAUGCCUCACCUACAUUUUAUGGAGUGAUAAUAGGUAUAUGGGAGUUAGACUACAACAACUUUAGGAUCCCUAUUUUUCGUUGUAAUUGGAUUGAUAUGAAUAGAGGGACUAAGGUAGAUGACUUGGGUUAUACUUUGGUUAAUUUGAAUAAGUUGGGGUUUUUUAAUGAUCCAUUUGUGCUAGCGAAACACGUUAAGCAAGUAUGUUACAUAGAUGAUCCUCUUGAUAAACUAUGGUCCGUGGUGUUGAAAUUACCCGAGAAAAACUAUUAUGAGGACAAUGAUGAAGAAAAUGAGGGAUCCGUGGAAGUAGAACUUGAGAAUGAGUGCUUUGUGCCAAAUUUCCCGGAUGUUGAUUUAGACGAGGAGGACACGACUAGCUACAUGCGAGAUGUAGAUGAACUAAUUAAACUUUCAUGAUGUAAUUUAAUUUGAUUUUUAGUUUGGUGAUGAACUAAACAAACUUUUAGGAUGUAAGUUAGUUUCCUUGUUUUUUUCUCUGUUGGUUGGCUCUGUUUUUAGUCAGAUUUGUUGGCGUGCCUCUAUUUUCAGGAUGGUUUGCUCUGUUUUUCUGCUUUUUUUUUCUCCAAUGGUGGCAAAUCAGACAAGCGUUUUUGUCAAAAGAGGCUUGUCUGAUAACCAUUCACAUGCAUAACGCUAAACAAAACAAAGCUUGUUUUUAAAGUCUAAUAACAACACUUUUACUGAACAAACUGUUGUCUGUUUCUUAAAAGUCAUUUAGUCAGACAACAUUUUAUUUGUUAAAGGCUUGUCUGUAAGGCCAUGUUACGAUGCUAACAAAAACACUUGUAUGUUAGCUUUCCAGUCACACAACACUAUAUAAAACCCUUGUUUGAAAACCUUGUAAACAACACAACAAAUAAAACCGUUGUCUGAUUAAUACAACGGUUUCUUGAACUAUUGUCUGAGGUUUCUUCACACAUCAGCUCUUAAAACAGUUGUCUAACAUGCAUCAUUACACAAUACCACAGUUAAGAAAACGUUGUCUAGUUGAAUUUACUAUACAAAAUUUUUUUAACCGUUGUAGGGCGUAGGUGUUAGACAAUAGUUUUUCGAGGACGAAAAGAAAGUGUUGUGUCUUAAUUCCAAACAACACUUUUUUCACCGCGCGUUGUCUGAUCAGUGUUGUCUAAUGGUGUUUUUGUUGUAGUGACUAAUAAAACAUUGUCUGACUGAAUGACUUUUAAGAAAAUAAACGUACAUAAGAGAGUGCAAACAUUCAAAAGUCCUAACAUAAAUUAUAACAAAAUAGUAAAUUUCUUCAUAAUCAUAGGUUAUCCUGCAAAAAAAAUCAUAAAUUGAUCAAGAAAAUGUGAAUUUUUAAAUCUUAAAAAUAAAAAUUUAUUAUACAACGGUUUCUUUCCUUUCCUAUAAACCGUUGUCUACACUAAUUUUAUACAAUGGAUUUUACUUGAAGCGUUGUUUGAGCCUAAUUUAGACAAUGGAUUAUCUUACAACGGUAUAUCUUUCGUAAUGGUUGUGUCAUUUUCAAUGAUACAACAUAAGUGCGUAUAGAAACCGUUGUCUGUUAGACACUACAGGACAAAAUUUACCUUUAUAUAAUAAGACAAAAUUUACGCUUAACUAGUAUUGUUAAAAAAACAUACAAAAUAAACAUAAAAAAUUUUGAUUUUUUUAUACAUGACUAAUAUUGUUAGUUCUCGACAUCCGUACGGUUAGAUGAUCGAAAAAAAUAUUUAUAAAUUAAUAUAGAGCUAAUCUUAUACAUAACAAUGAUUCUAUCCAGUACGUUCUAAAUCGUAAACAUAAAACACAUACUAAUACUCACAUUCGAACUACAAAAUUGUCUAGGUAUUACAAAUGAACAAUACAUAUUUGCAUAUAUGCAUAAUAUAAAUAUAUUUAUUAAGACAAAUGGUACAAAAACAAUAAUCGAUCGAGGAAAUGCGAAUUUUUAACUCAUAAAAAUGAAAACUUAUUAUACAACGGUUUGCUUCUCAUAAAUCGUUGUCCGCAUUACUUUUAUACAACGGAUUUUCCUUGAAGCGUUGUUUGAGCCUAAUUUAGACAAUGAAUUAUCUUACAACGGUAUAUCUUUCGUAAUGGUUGUGUCAUUUUCAAUGAUACAACAUAAGUGCGUAUAGAAACCGUUGUCUGUUAGACACUACAGGACAAAAUUUACCUCUAUAUAAUAAGACAAAAUUUACGUGUAACUAGUAUUGUUAAAAAAACAUACAAAAUAAACAUAAAAAAUUUUGAUUUUUUUUAUACUUGACUAAUAUUGUUAGUUCUCGACAUCCGUACGGUUAUAUGAUCGAAAAAAAUAUUUUACAAAUUAAUAUAGAGCUAAUCUUAUACAUAACAAUGAUUCUAUCUAGUACUUUCUAAAUUGUAGACAUAAAACACAUACUAAUACUUACAUCCGAACUACAAAAUUUUCUUGGUAUUACUAAUGAACAAUACAUAUAUGCAUAAUAUAAAUAUAUUUAUUAAGACAAAAAGUACAAAAACAAGAAUUGAUCAAGGAAAUGCGAAUUUUUAAGUCAUAAAAAUGAAAAUUUGUUAUACAACUCUCUCUCUCUCUCUCUCUCUCUCUAAAAUAUGUUAGCUUAGUUAUGCUACUUUUUUUUUCCACAAGCUUAGUUAUGCUACUUAUGACCUAGUUGUAAAGGUGUUAGCUUAGAAUAUUANGAUAAUAUAAAUUUAUUUAUUAAGACAAAAGGUACAAAAACAAGAAUUGAUCAAGGAAAUGCGAAUUUUUAAGUCAUAAAAAUGAAAAUUUGUUAUACAACUCUCUCUCUCUCUCUCUCUCUCUCUCUCUCUCUCUCUCUCAUAUGUUGGCUUAGUUAUGCCACUUUCUUUUCCACAAGCUUAGUUAUGCUACUUAUGACCUAGUUUUAAAAGUGUUAGCUUAGAAUAUUAAAAUAUAAAAAUAUUAUUUUUAAAAUAAAAUAUUAGUUAAAAUUAAUUUUACUAGAAUUGAAGGUUAUAUACACAUGAAAUAAAUAAGAUAAUGAUGAUAUACAAAGUUUGUCUAUAAUAAAUUUUAAAAAAAAGUAAAAUAUGAAUAUACGAACUAAGGGUAUACGAACUUAUAAAUAUUAUAAAAUAUUAUAAAAUACAUAUAUGUAUUAUAAAAAUGAAAAUUUAAAAAUGUCAAUAUACGAACUUAUAAAUAUUAUAAAAUACAUAUAAGUAAUUAAUUUUUUAUAUAAUAAAUAUUUAAAUUUUAUUCAUUAAAAUAUAAAUAUAUGCGAAUAUUUGGACUCUAUCAAACUGGGUAAACAUUGGACUAGAGCAGGUAAAUUUUAGACUUACACUCCGCCCAAAUUUUUGAACAACUUUGAAAUUUUUACUCAUACUCACACGCUCAAUCUCUCUCUCAAUACCCCUGCUCGACUCUCUCUUGAAAUACCCUCUCUCGCUAAUCUAGGGCUAAUCUCUCUCAUCUCUCUGGCCACUAUUUUCUCAGUCAUGCUACCACUUUCAAUCAUUAUGGAUUUAUAUUUCUAAUCGGGGACAAUUGAAUUAAGGGUCGAGGCUUCGAUUUUUCAAUUAGGGCGUGGCUACUUCAAUCAUGCUUUGAUUCUUCAUUAAACUUCAAUUAAAGUUCAAGUACUUACAUAUAAUCCCUUAAAUUUCAUCUAAUCUCUCUAUCUCUCUUUGAUGUCAGGUGUUCUUCGUUUGGGUUUGCACUUCAAGACUUGUUUUAAGGUAUUUAUGAAUUUAGGAUUUGUGUGUUUUUGGGUUUAUUACAUUUGUAUUUUUUUUUAUGUUUAUGUGGUUGAUUUGCUUUGGUUUGUUUUUUUUUAUUUCUGUGUAAAAUUGCAAUACUCUAUUUUUGUGUGUAAUGUGUAAUUUGAACCCAUGCCAUGUUUUAGUUUUUUUUAUAUAUCUGCAGGAUGCAGGACAAGUCUGAAAUGGUAAAAGAUAAAUUAAUAAUGUUUGGGGAUAUGAUUUUCAGCUAUUUUUUUUGUCGAAAUAACUAUGACUUGUUAAGUCUUCUUCUCUUUGACAAUUUAUAACCUUGAGAGUCCAGCUUAUUCGCUUCAGAUUACUAAAGUUGAGAAGUAUGUUAUAGUUUGACCAAUAAAAUGAUGCAAAUACAAAACUACUUUACCAGCAUCUCCAAAGGUCAAAUAACCAGGUGACCAGAUCAGUAUAUACUGACAAAUUCUUGGAUCAGUCAUUAUUGUCGGAAAUGUAGUAUGAAAAUGUGGUAUUUGAAGUGUUUGCUCAUUCGGGUUUAUGUUUGCUGCGGUUUUGAAAGGCUGAGUUGAAGCAUAAGUUGGCGGAGUUUAGUUCGUGCCAGCUCACUCCUUCUGUUCUUUUUUGUUAGUGACUAUAUAUAUAUGCUUAUACUAUUAUCUGUUGUUAAAGUUUUUAUGUCUCUUUCUUGUAGGCUUUGCUGUUAGUAAGAGACAUACAUAUAUGUUCUCUGCGGGUGAUGACAAACAAGUUAAAUGCUGGGAUCUUCAAUAAAAUAAGGUUUGAUAAAAACUUUUUUAUGGACUAUGGCUAUGCUAGUGUUUCCAAUAAACUUAAUUAUUGAUAUUUCUCCACCUUUUAAAGGUUAUCAGGUCUUACCAUGAUCACCUAAGUGGAGUUUAUUGCUUGGCUAUGCAUCCCAAUAUUGACAUUCUACUUACAGGGGGUUGUGAUUCUGUGUGUCGGGUAUGAUUUUAUUAAUCUAAAAUAUUAUGCUACCUGUGAUUUGACAUUCUUUUGUCACAUGUUUCAGUCUCAGGGAAGCUUCAGUUUCUGUUGCUAUAAAGCCAAGGUCAUGGUUUGGUAUAUAAGGGAACUGCCUUGCCCAAGUUGUAGGGGAAGAGGUUACAGUCUUAUGUACAGAAUGCGGAAUAGAAAGAUCUAGAAAAGAUUUUGUCUGGUGUGAUGGCAAGGUAAAUAUUGAAUCAUUUACUAGUUAUGAAUUGCUUUAAUGUACACGUUGACCAGUACUAAACUUGGUAGAGAGACCAAGAGACAUGUGCAUUCUUCAAUUUUAUUUUCUAGCUUCUAUUUCUACAUGUAAUAUUCUGCCCUGUGCUUAUUUAUGUAUCUUAUUUGAUAUGAAAAUGAAAUACACGGUCUUGACUAUUUACAGUAUUGUUUUUCUGCAUAUAAAUAGUGCAAAAUAUAAAAUGCAAAGAUUUAUAGUACUUCCAAUAUUUUUUAGCGACCUAAUGCUACAUAAAUGCCUGUAGCCUAUUUCUGUUAGAGAAUCGGUGUUACAAGAAAGCGUUACAAGGGAUGGUUCUAUAUUUCUGUUAGGUAUAAAGCUCAUAGUCCAUAUUGAUUGUCGAUAUAAAUAUAUAGCAUUGAGACUAAAGCUAUCUAUUUUCCGCUAUGUAUCUUAUUAAGAGCUUUAAUUGUAAGUGUUUAUCAAUUACAGGUCAUACUUGCGAGUAGUGCAAGGGAGAUCGUGUAAUGGAAGAGUCAAUCGAUGAACGACCAUGGGAAAAGGCACGAUCAAUGUAUAAAUAUGAGUUAGAAGGAUGGUAUAAAUCCGUAUGUUUGUUGGAUGUAAUUGUUGGUUGAAAGGUGAAUAUUAGUUGGUAAAUAUAAUUAGUUGGUGGAUAUUUAGUUGGUGGAUAUAUGUUUGUGGAUAUUGGUGAUUGAUAUUUGGUUUGUACUUGGUUGGUUGUUAUGUUGGUAAUGAAAACUUUUGUUUACCAAUUUUCGACAUUGUUAAUUAUAUUGCGUAGUCUAGUUUAUUUGAUUCAUGGUUUUACUUUUAGCUAAUGGGACAUGUAAAUGGCCAUUGUUCAAGUUACAUAAUGCAAUGGUUAUUGUGAUAAAAACCAUUGUCUAUGAUAUUUUUAACUAAUGAGACAUGUAAAUGACAAUUGUUAUAAACAACAUUAUACAAUGAUCACUGUGAUUAAAAGUAUUGUCUCUCAAACCCUAUAAACAACACAAUUUUAAGAAUAAAAUCGUUGUCUAAGACAUAUACAAAUAAGUAUAUAGUAGUAACAAACCAUUGUCUAAAUCAAUAUCAUUCGAGCAUUCGGAACAAAAAUCGUUGUAGUAGAGCUUUCACACAAUUGUUUCAUUAUAUAAACUAUUGUUAUAAGGAGCCUUACACAACUGACCACGGCUCUAAACCCGUUGUACAAGGUAGUAAAACACGAGCCUCUAUAACGCAAACAAUCUUGUCUAAUACUCUUAUUAACAAGUAAAUAUAUCCAGAAACUGUUGUGGAUAGUUAUAAUAACAACACGAAUUGAAAACAUGUCUGUUGUUGUUAAUUGUUUAUAACAACACGCUGUAAUAUGAUUCCGUUGUUGGUUCUGGGUUUAACACAACACGCAGUUAAACAUAAACCGAUGUGUUUCUUUUUCUCACACAACGGUCGGUACCAUUGUCUGAGGCGCGUAUUAGACGACAUCGCAAUAGACCACGGUUUUUCUUGGUAUCAGACAACGGGCAAAAACGCUUGUGUGAUGCUGUUUUCCUUGUAGUGAAUAUAAAUAUAGUUUUAAACUAUAUGUAUUUAAAAUUUUUAUAAUAUAUAUAUAUAUAUAUAUAUAUAUAUAUAUAUAUAUAUAUAUUAUAUAUAUAUAUAUAUAUAUAUAUAUAUAUAUAUAUAUAUGUAUAAAUUUAGAGUUACGAUACUCAUCAAAAGAAAUAUAAAUUAGAUUAUAAAUAUGAUAAUGAUGAAGGUGCAAAGAUUUCAACACUAACAAAUUAUUUUAUAGAAAACAUAUAUAAGUAUUAUAUUCAAUUUGUCGUCUUAAAACUAACCUUAAUUUAUAUUGCAAAAUUAUUAAAAUUAAGUCGAAUAACUUGAACAUACACACAUAAGAGAUAACAUCUUAAUUAAUAAUCUAUCUAUAUAUAUAAACAUUUGUCAUUAUGUAUGAUAUAUUUUUAAUAUUAGAAUAGAGCGGUGCGGUGCGGUUUAAACCGCGCUUGUAUAAUGUCAAACCGCAACCCGCACCGCACUGCCCGGUUUGUUAAAACUUCAAUCCGCAAUCCCACCACGAAAAAGAAAAAUCGCAUUUUACGGUGUGGUGCGGAGCGGUGCGGGCGGUUUGUGCGGUGUGGGCGGUUUGAUGAACACCUCUAAUUUUAGGUAUCAUAAAAAAAUGAAAAUAACAAAAUAAAUAGUUAAAAUAUAAUAUUUUAAAUCAGAACAAUGAAAUAAAUAAUGGCUAAACUUAUUUUGGUUGGCCGGGUUUUAUACAUAUUAAUGGGCCAAGUUAAUUUUCAAGAGAAAUAAGUCUGCUGAAACCUAAUUUCCAAACUCAAACCACCCGACUCACCUACUAAAGCUGCAAACAAGCUGCAAUGGAGGAAUUAUCUGAUAACGUCUUUAAUCUUCAACCAAAAAUCUCGGACAAUGGAUGUCAUUUAACCGUAACCGUAUUAGCAACAUUUUGAAAAAUCUAAAUAAAAAUUCAAAUGAUUUUCAAUGAUAUAAAAAAUAACCGAUUUUUUUGGUAUUGAAAGAGAGGAGGUAAUUGAACUGGUGGAUGAUGAGCUAAUUUAUUAAUGUGGAAGAAAGGCAGACGUAUUCCGACUUUGGAGGUUUGUGUUCUGUUCGCAUCUUAUAUCAUUUUUACCUUACUGCUCGUCGUGUUGUUUUUAUUUUGACUGAAUCUUGGAUAAUAUUGUUUGUGUACGCUAGUUUCAGUUACUAUCCUUUUUUAUUUGUAUCGUGUAAAAGUUGAGUCAAUCUAACUUGUUGAAUUAUAUUAUUUUUCAAUUUACAGGUCGGGAUAAAGUUAACUUACGUAAUCAAAGUCCAUGAUAUGGAUAAUUCUGCAAGUAUCAUAUUUGUCCUUCACUAUAAGCAAGUAUCAUUGUUACCAUAAUCCAGUUUUUUUUUGGAAGAAUAAGGACAAGCUUAACGAUUAAAGAGAGCAAAGAAGAGUAAUAAAUUUGAGAAAAAAGAUCAUCCUACUAGUAUUGUAAAUAAUAUUGUGAAACGGUAGAAAAUGUUAUUAAAUAAUAAACAAUUACAUUGUGUAAAUAUUAAAUUUGGUGGACAUGACUUGUUUAUUAGUCGAUGUUCAAAAAAAAAAUGAAAUGAACAUAACAUUCAAUAGAGUCAAGCUAUCAUCAUAUACAAAAAAUCAAAUAAAUGAAGAUUGAACUUUGAAAAAUGGAGUAAUUUAAGUUAAAAAAAUUGAAACAAAGUUAAUAUAUAAAAAAUAAUUUCAGAAUUAAUUUGACAAUAACCAAUUCAACGAGUUAACAUAAACAACUGAUCACCGUUAGCAGAUUAAUUCAAAAAAGAUUUUAAAAAUGACGAGGGUAAAGAGAUUUUUACUUGAUGCAGAUUACUCAGCAAAGAUUCUGGAAAUGAUGGUAAACAAAUUCCAUAAGAAGGCAAGAUAUUCGCUUAGUGUUACCCGGUUCGCAGUACGGCCUAUGGAUCCGCGAACUGGUUCGCUCGUACCGGAACACAGGUCGAAGUCGACCCGGAUUAGUCGGGAUCAGGAAGAUUUUCAUUCUGCAUGAGAAUGAUUUUGGGGUCCCGGAUAAUCUAUUGGAGGGCAAGGAGAAAGUGCUUGUUAAUUGUGGUGUUGGUUAUACAACCAUUCCAAGUAAGUUUUCUAGUAUGCUAAACUCUUUGAUUAAUUGUUCCAAUGAAAAUAUGAAUGACUUAGAGUCAUGCACUUACUUCCAAGCACAUAUGUGUUUCCUUACCUCUGCUCUUGUUUAAUUCACUUUAAUAUAGAUGAUCCCUUCUACUCUCGACGGCCGACGAGUAUCGGAUUGGUGUAUGUACUAUAUUGUUAUAUAGAAGAUUUAAAGCAACAUAUUUAGUUAAUACAAGUUCUAAAAUAUAACAUUCAAAUAUGAAAAGGGUAGAAAUAUUUGCAAUCCGUGAAGAAUCAACCAAUUAUAAACAGGUUAGUUGAUAUAUAUAAUUUUGAUUUCUCCUAUAUUUCAUAACUGUUUUACUUGUCACAAAAAAAGACAAUAACAAAGGAUAUAGUUAAAAUUGAGUUAAAUAUAACUAAGUGUCAUGUAAUAAGUGACUCUCAGACAGGGGCGGAAAGAGGCUUGGGCCAGGAUAGGCCUGGCCCUCCUUGAAAUUUGAGUAAAAAUUAUUCUUUUUGUUAAAUUAUUCGCCCAUCCCACAUGUGGUAGGUCCUUAGCAGCAAAACAGCAAAACCGCACAGCAUAAUUGUACUUUGAUCCUUUUACUUUUGAGUUUGCACAUCAACGAGCAACAGCGGAGGACAUAAAAAAUAAAAAGAAAAGAAAGGCCUAACAGUUAGCGAGGAGAGACAACGAGAGAAUAGUGAUAAAAAGGACGGAGCCGAGUGAGAUAGGCACAGAAAAAUAUUAGCGAUAUUUUCAACUUUAAUCAGCAACAGAAAAAGAGUGCUCUUCUUGUCUGAAUGCUCUUGUACAUAUGACGUUUUCAACUAAAUAAAAAUGCCUAAUAUUUCUUGUUGUCAAGAGCUGCAAUAUUUCUGCUAGGAUAAAAUGUAAAAAAGCUUAAUUACUUUUUCUGAUUUUCAUGUUGUAUUAUCAAACUUGUGUUAUUCUGUUCAUAUAGUAGUGACUAGUGACUACAUGUGGCUGGAUUAUAUUUCUUUAAUCUAUAUGAUUAUAUAAUUAAGUAAGAGGAGAACAUGAAUACAUGAUGAUUAGGUGCAUUAGCACUUAUACAGAGUGUUAGUGGAGUAAGAUGCAAUGAAAAAAAUCUAAUGACAGCCAAAAGCCUUGAUUAUUUGUUAAACAAACAAGAAACAGUUGGCAUGUUCUUGUAACCUCCACAAAACCAACCUAUAUAAUGCAUUGCCAUUCUCUUCUCCAUUCAUAACUUAAGUGGCAAAACCACCUUUUAACUUUAUCCCUACUGUGUUAAGCACUUCAGAAAAAGAUUUGGAAAACUUAAUGGAGAGUUUCAAGAUUUCUAAAGUUUUUACCAUCUGCAUCAUGGUUCUUGUUGCUUUCUCCAAUUUGGGAGCCUCAGCGGCGCUUGAAGAUGUUGCAGCACCUGCACCAUCACCAACAAGUGCUGGAACAGCGUUGUACGUACCAGCAGCACUUGCUGUAGUGGCUUCUCUCGUUGCUUGUAUCUUUUAAAUUUUGUAUCUGUGGAUGUCCUGUAUCCUUUUGAGUGGUAAUCUGGUUUUGAAUUUGC
rnacentral:lncRNA from 1 species